rnacentral:lncRNA from 10 species
GAAGAAUUUAAUUCUUUUAUUUAGGACAUGUGAUUCUUUUACUGGUAAGAAAAGAAUGCUUGGCAUUUUCUCAUAAAUCUAGAAAUUGGUGGAAAACAUUGAUCCAAACUGCAUUUGUUCUUGAUGCAGAUAUUUCCAUGAAAGAUGUUUGGACUCAUGAAAGCUCAGAUGUCUCAAGAAAGCCAGAGAAGGCUGUGUGGGGUAGGGAAGCUCUCUGCUUGUGAGUGGACCCAUUCUCUCCCUAUCCCCAGGCUCUUUGGCAUUUUCCUUUGAGGACAGUGUUCUGCAAUGCCUAAUUAGAUGCUGUCUGUUGGCUUUGGUAUCCCAUCGCUGUGUUCCUAGUUUGUCUUACAAGGAUUGGGUGUACCAUGUUAAGACAAAACAUUGCAAUGUUAAAACACAACACUGUUGUGAAGAUCAUCUUUGUUUUCAGAAUGUAUUUUAAGAGCUAGUGGAGUAGAAAAUGGCCGGUUUGUUGUCAGUAAAGCUCUUCCUUCACCCAGAAACCACAAGAGCCUGACAGUCAAGUCAUUCUCACAGGUGCGUGUGGUCCCUAUCAGGGAUGUGCUGGGCUGCCAGCCUCCCUGACGGGCCCUUUGUGGUGGCGCUGCUGAGUUACCCUAGCAUGCCACCACGGGAUCAGACUACUGCUGCAGACUGUUAUGACGAUGUCACCCGGAGGUGGCAGACCUGAGUGUGAAGCGUGAUCCUGCUCUCUGACACAGGAACUUGUCAUGUCUGAGGAAACUGACCUUUAGUUCUGUACCAGCUAGAGUCAGGAGGCCAGGAAUUUCCUUUUGAGCCCCAGGUCAACUUGGAUUGUAUGAAGUAGAAGUCUAAGUGACACCCAGAUUUUGCUAUUGCCCAAAGAACAGCUUUCUGACCUGGCCCUCCUCAGCCUGCUCCCCAGCGGAGGAAGGCUGUUCCCAGCAGGUCUUCUUCGCUCUUCACCACCUUCCCUGAAUCUGGUAUUCCCACGUAGAACGACCUGCUCCUAACUGAGUGGGAGGCUGGCCAGCACUGAUUGCAUGCUGUGUACUUUAAGCUUGUGAUGGAAUAUUUAAGGGCCAGACAUGCCUUCCUCAGAUAGAGCAACGUGGUCUCGAGUUAAAAUUUCUGACACUCAAACUUGAAUGGCUCUUAGAGAUCAAUCACUGUUUCUUGGAGGUGAUGGGAAAUACCGUAACGUGGAGAUCAUCAUGGGACACUGGGGAAUUUAGAGUCUUAUUUGUGCUAACAUGACACAACCAAGAUAAGUUGGAGUGUAUGUGGGUGAGAUGGCAACAGGCAGAAAGCUAAGGUGCCAGAGAUCCGUGAGUAAAUUCUAUUGUUUCUUGUUGGUAAGGAUUUAUAUUGUAUCAGAAAGUGGUAAGACCACAGGAAUUUCAUAUCAUCCCUAAUAAAUAUAUACAUAUACAUACAUUGUAUACACGUUAAUAUCUAUAUAUUUGGGUAUACGUGUAUGUGUGUAUAUGUAGCAUAUUUUUAAGAAGCACAAAUAGCUGAGUCUAGGGGAGUGCUUGUGAACUGCAUUGUGGUAAAUCACUGAGGUAUUCUUCAGCAGUGAAUACAGUUUUUCACAUGAUUUUAUUACGUCUUUUAAAGAUAGUAUCAGUUGUAUUUCUGAGAGUAUUUUGACAUCUUUGUUUAUUGAACUUGGUGGCCAUUUAAGUUAGUAUUUUCAUUUUGAAUAAGCCCCCUCAGUCUGCACCACAACUUAAAAUAUAACCUGAAGCACUUUGGUACUCUAUGUGGUCGUUGUAACUUAAUGCCACACUGAAUGCUGUGGCAUUUCAUAAAGUUACUUUUUUUUUUUUUUGAGAUGGAGUCUCGCUCUGUUGCCCAGGCUCGAGCGCAGUGGCACAAUCUCGGCUCACUGCAAGCUCCACCUCCCAGGUUCAUGCCAUUCUCCUGCCUCAGCCUCCCGAGUAGCUGGGACUACAGGUGCCCACCACCACGCCUGGCUAAUUUUUUGUAUUUUUAGUAGAGACAGCAUUUCACAGUGUUAGCCAGGAUGGUCUUGAUCUCCUGACCUCGUGAUCCACCCUCCUUGGUCUCCCAAAGUGCUGGGGUUACGGCGUGAGCCAUCACACCUGGCCAAAGUUACUUCUUAAAUACAAGGAUGGCUCUUUGCCGUGAUCAUGGUUUCCAUGUUUGCUUUCGUUCCAUCUGGCUUUCGGUUACUCCCAUUUCCCUUUCCCAGUCUCUGUGAGCGGUAACACUUGGUAUCGUAUAGCAUCAUCUGCGAUACUCCAAAGGAAUGGGCAGACAUGCACUCCUGCGCCCUUCUAAUGUCCCUAGGAAAGCAGCACACUGACCCUGAAACUGCCAGCACAGAGCCACAUCAGCAGCAGGAAAGACACUGAGUGAGCCAGUAUGUGCAAUGACAGGAUGGCUUUACACAAAGACUCGGUUGCAUGCCAAAGUGCAGCUUCUUCCGCCUGCCCCUAAUAAGACAGUGAGUCAGGGCUCAGGUCCCCCAGGAAGAGGAAACUGCAAUGAACGGGCACUUUCUCUAUCAUUUGUGUGGCAUGUACCACACUGCAGCCACCCGUGUCACUGCUCCUGUGUAACAGGAUUGAUGUUGCUAUUUUCCUAAUGAUCCUGUCUACUGAGAAGGCAGGAAGCCACAUGCCUCCUGCAACAACCAGAAGCCAACAAGCCAGUCUCCUCUCUCAACAAGGUAAGACAAAUGAUGUAAAAAUAGGUUAAAUUACUUCGAAACUUUAAUUACAGAUACUUUUCCACGCAACAUUUCUGAAAUGAAAGCUUUGAU